rnacentral:rRNA from 1 species
UAUUAAGUAAUACCUGCUCCAUGACAAUUAAUAGCCGCAGAUUUAUCUGUGCUAAGGUAGCAUAAUCAUUUACCUUUUAAUUAAAGGCUAGAAUGAAUGGUUUUACAUAAAAUUACUCUUUAAAUUUUAUUUAUAUAAUUUAUAUUUAAAAUUAAAAUAUUUUCAUAAAUUCUAAAGACGACAAGACCCUAUCAAACUUUACUAUUGUUUUGCUGGGGCAGCAAAACAAUAAAAAUUUUGUUAAAACUAGUUUAAAAGAAUGACCCAAUAUUAUUGAUAAUUCAAUCAAGUUACUGUAGGGAUAACAGCACAAUUCUUUUUUAAGUUCAUAUUAAAAAAAGAGAUUGUGACCUCGAUGUUGAAUUAUUUACCUUAAAAACGCAAGAGUUUUAUAUGGGGGUCUGUUCGACCCUUAAAAUUUUACA